UACGUAGGUGGCAAGCGUUGUCCGGAUUUAUUGGGCGUAAAGCGAGCGCAGGCGGUCUUUUAAGUCUGAUGUGAAAGCCCCCGGCUUAACCGGGGAGGGUCAUUGGAAACUGGGAGACUUGAGUGCAGAAGAGGAAAGCGGAAUUCCAUGUGUAGCGGUGAAAUGCGUAGAUAUAUGGAGGAACACCAGUGGCGAAGGCGGCUUUCUGGUCUGUAACUGACGCUGAGGCUCGAAAGCGUGGGGAGCAAACAGG
rnacentral:rRNA from 2 species